GUGGGGAAUUUUGGACAAUGGGCGCAAGCCUGAUCCAGCAAUGCCGCGUGCAGGAAGAAGGCCUUCGGGUUGUAAACUGCUUUUGUACGGAACGAAACGGUCCGGGUUAAUACCCUGGGCUAAUGACGGUACCGUAAGAAUAAGCACCGGCUAACUACGUGCCAGCAGCCGCGGUAAUACGUAGGGUGCAAGCGUUAAUCGGAAUUACUGGGCGUAACGCGUGCGCAGGCGGUUUUGUAAGACAGGCGUGAAAUCCCCGGGCUCAACCUGGGAAUUGCGCUUGUGACUGCAAGGCUGGAGUGCGGCAGAGGGGGAUGGAAUUCCGCGUGUAGCAGUGAAAUGCGUAGAUAUGCGGAGGAACACCGAUGGCGAAGGCAAUCCCCUGGGCCUGCACUGACGCUCAUGCACGAAAGCGUGGGGAGCAAACAGGAUUAGAUACCCCGGUAGUCC
rnacentral:rRNA from 1 species